ensembl:lncRNA
ACCCAGUCUUUUUUUUCUUAUUUUUUCACAUUAAUUUUUUUUCUUUUAAAAAUGUUCUCUUCUCCAUUAGUAGCGGUGUAAUAUCCCUGAACAAUCUGCAGGGAUCUAGGAGAAAAAAACACUAUUCAUAAGCAAAGAAUAAACUAUGGGAAUAGAAACACUGAGGAAAAGCAACUGCCUGACUACAGCGGUUGAGGGGACAUGACAGAGGAGAGACUCCAAACGAAACUCUAAUGCAAAUAUUAACAACAUAGAAAUGGGUUCGAAUCAAGAACACAUGUGACACCCAGUGGAAUCACGCGUCGGCUAUGGGGGGUGGGGGGGAGGAAAAGAAAAUGAUCUUUGUCUUUAAUGAAUAAUGCUUGGAAAUGAUCAAAUAAAAUAUUAUUUUUUAAAAAAAGACAAAAAAAUGUUCUUUAUUCCUAGCUGUGUGACCCUGGGCAAGUCCCUUAACACCCACUGCCUAGUCCUCACCACUCUUCUGCUUUGGAACCAAUACACAGUUUUGAUUCUAAGACAAAAGGUAAAACCAGAAGAUAUAAAGAUAUGGCAGCUAAAUGGAAAGACCCCUCACUUCUCCUUAGAAACAUCAAGGGGUCAAUGGAAAUGUCAUUAG